UACGUAGGGUGCGAGCGUUAAUCGGAAUUACUGGGCGUAAGGCGUGCGCAGGCGGUUUUGUAAGCCAGAUGUGAAAUCCCCGGGCUUAACCUGGGAAUGGCAUUUGGGACUGCAAGGCUUGAGUGCGGCAGAGGAGACUGGAAUUCCUGGUGUAGCAGUGAAAUGCGUAGAUAUCAGGAGGAACACCGAUGGCGAAGGCAGGUCUCUGGGCUGACACUGACGCUCAUGCACGAAAGCGUGGGGAGCAAACAGG
rnacentral:rRNA from 1 species